rnacentral:rRNA from 1 species
UACGUAGGUGGCGAGCGUUGUCCGGAAUUACUGGGUGUAAAGCGCGUGUAGGCGGGAGGCCAAGUCUGUGGUGAAAUCGCUCGGCUUAACUGGGCGGGGUCCAUGGAAACUGGUCACCUGGAGGUCGGUAGAGGCAAGUGGAAUUCCCGGUGUAGUGGUGAAAUGCGUAGAUAUCGGGAGGAACACCUGUGGCGAAAGCGGCGCACUGGACCACAACUGACGCUGAGGCGCGAAAGCUAGGGGAGCAAACAGG